rnacentral:rRNA from 1 species
AAUAGAUACCCUGGUAGUCCACGCCGUAAACGAUGAGUGCUAAGUGUUAGAGGGUUUCCGCCCUUUAGUGCUGCAGCUAACGCAUUAAGCACUCCGCCUGGGGAGUACGGUCGCAAGACUGAAACUCAAAGGAAUUGACGGGGGCCCGCACAAGCGGUGGAGCAUGUGGUUUAAUUCGAAGCAACGCGAAGAACCUUACCAGGUCUUGACAUCCCACUGACCGGGUAUAGAGAUAUACCUUUCCCUUCGGGGACAGUGGUGACAGGUGGUGCAUGGUUGUCGUCAGCUCGUGUCGUGAGAUGUUGGGUUAAGUCCCGCAACGAGCGCAACCCUUGAUCUUAGUUGCCAGCAUUUAGUUGGGCACUCUAAGGUGACUGCCGGUGACAAACCGGAGGAAGGUGGGGAUGACGGUCAAAUCAUCAUGCCCCUUAUGACCUGGGCUACACACGCGCUACAAUGGAUGGUACAAAGGGCUGCAAGACUGCGAAGUCAAGCCAAUCCCAUAAAACCCAUUCUCAGUUCGGAUUGCAGG